rnacentral:rRNA from 1 species
CCUACGGGUGGCAGCAGUGAGGAAUAUUGGUCAAUGGGCGCGAGCCUGAACCAGCCAAGUAGCGUGAAGGAUGCCUGCCCUACGGGUUGUAAACUUCUUUUAUAAAGGAAUAAAGUGAGGCACGUGUGCCGUUUUGAAUGUACUUGAUGAAUAAGGAUCGGCUAACUCCGUGCCAGCAGCCGCGGUUAUACGGAGGAUCCGAGCGUUAUCCGGAUUUAUUGGGUUUAAAGGGAGCGUAGACGGGUUGGUAAGUAAGUUGUGAAAUUUUGCGGCUCAACCGUAGAAUUGCAGUUGAGACUGGCAGCCUUGAGUGCAGUUGGGGUAGGCGGAAUUCGUGGUGUAGCGGUGAAAUGCUUAGAUAUCACGAAGAACACCGAUUGCGAAGGCAGCCUACUGGGCUGCCACUGACGUUGAUGCUCGAAAGUGUGGGUAUCAAACAGGAUUAGAUACCCCUGUAGUC